GACGAACGCUGGCGGCGUGCCUAAUACAUGCAAGUCGAGCGAAGUUUUUCUGGUGCUUGCACCGGAAAAACUUAGCGGCGCACGGGUGAGUAACACGUAAAGAACCUGCCUUAUAGACUGGGACCACUAUUGGAAACGAUAGCUAAUACCAGAUAACAGCAUUAACUGCAUGGUUGAUGUUUGAAAGUUGGUUUUGCUAACACUAUGAGAUGGCUUUGCGGUGCAUUAGCUAGUUGGUGGGGUAAAGGCCUACCAAGGCAACGAUGCAUAGCCGACCUGAGAGGGUGAUCGGCCACACUGGGACUGAGACACGGCCCAGACUCCUACGGGAGGCAGCAGUAGGGAAUCUUCCGCAAUGGGCGAAAGCCUGACGGAGCAACGCCGCGUGAGUGAAGAAGGAUUUCGGUUCGUAAAGCUCUGUUGUUAGGGAAGAAUGAUUGUGUAGUAACUAUACACAGUAGAGACGGUACCUAACCAGAAAGCCACGGCUAACUACGUG
rnacentral:rRNA from 1 species